CUAGAAGUUUCCUUAAUCUCUCCACUGCUCAACACAUGUAUUACUUUUACCAUCAGAUCUCUUUUCUCUAUUUUCGCAACCAAAUUUCUUCCUCACAGUCUCUCACCAAGGAAGCAAUGCCAGGAUCUCAAAUUAAUUCUUUACUCAAAUAUUCUUUCAUACUUUUAGUCUUCAUCAUUUGACCGUGAAUCCUUUUUUUUUUUUAUUUUUAGAUGAACCAAAAAAAAAUGGGUAGGGGGUGACUAACUUGACAAUCUUACCUGGCCGUGACCAUAGUAGUAUCCUACCUGCUGGGUCCGAGCCUUGCUGGGGUGCAGGGGACGCGGUGAGCCAUAGCUUCCCAACCUCACGAGGGACACUAAUUUGAUCGUGAAUAUGAGCACUCUUCUCUUCUCCUUCUCAGCAUCUUCUUCUUCACCUCUGUGCUACAGUAAGACAAAGAUCAAAGAAUACCAUAAGUAAAUAGUAAGUUUGCCCUAGUUUCAACUCGUUCAAGAAGGCCAAAUCUCAAUAUGGGCGAAAAAUGAAGAAAUUGACUGAAACAGACGAAACGAGUUGGAAUGGGUCUCGCGUGGUGGUGCGAACUGUGAAGGCUGGAGCAACAAAGUUGAGCUAGGCUGAUCGAGCAAUUGGCAGGAAGAAGGGUCUCCCGUGGUGGCGCGGGCUUGAGGUAUUUCAUUAUAGGCAAACUCGAAGAAUUUCACAAAAGCUUCUAGCCUUCCCCGAACACAGCGUUAGAGCUCGUAAAGCAGGGCGUUACACUUCUCCUCCUCGAUGUUCCUCAAUACACUCUCGUCGGCAUCGAUACUCAGAUGUUUUCUGUUGGGCCUGAUUUUAAGGGCAUCAAGAUGAUUCCUCCUGCUUCUCAUUUUCUUUAUUAUAGUUCUUCCACCAGAGAUGGAAAGGAUUUCUCACUAAUUAUUGGUUUCUUUAUCCACGCUGCUCCUUCUGAGGUAAUUGUUUGUAGGUGGGAUCAACAGCAGGAAAGAUUGGUCAAAGUAUCCGAAGAAGAGGAAGAGAGAUAUUGUCAAGCAAUUAAAAGUUUGGAGUUUGACAGACAACUUGGUCCUUGCAAUCUAAGCCAGUAUGGAGAUUGGAAGCAUUUAUCAAAUUACAUUACAAAGGGCAUUAUUGAACGGAUUGAACCCAUUGGAGGAGAGAUCACUGUUGCAUGUGAAUCAGGGAUGGUUACAAACACUCCUAAAACUGCAAUGGAGAAAGCAGUAGAUGAGCAGAUGAAGUCUAGUAAGUUCUUAACAUCAGUGGACAAUUCUCAAAGCAGAAGAUGUUACUAUACAUCAAUUCCCCGUGUUAUCAAACAAAAAGGAAUACAUGGGCAAGAACUUACUUCCUUGAAUAUUGACAAGACACAAUUGUUAGAAAGCUUGCUGAUAAAGGAUUAUGGAGGUUCUGAAGAUGUACUUCUUGGAGAGCUGCAAUUUGCAUUUAUUGCAUUUUUGAUGGGACAAUCACUUGAAGGAUUUCUACAGAGGAAAGCUUUGGUUAACCUUCUAUUUGGAUGUAUUGAGGCUCCUUUUCGUACAAGGACUCAACUAUUCACAAAGUUCAUUAAGGUUAUCUACUAUUAACUGAAAUUUGGGCUUGAGAAAGAUCAUACAGAUACCAGUGGUGCAGCAACCGGGGUGUCCGCACUAUUGGAUGAUUCAUGGUUAUCUGCUGAUAACUUUUUGCACCGUCUUUGCAAGGACUUCUUUUCAUUGAUGCUAGAUGCCUCAUCUGUUGAUGGACAUCUGCUGUCAUGGACGAGGAAACUUAAAGAGCUGCUUGAGAACAAUCUCGGGUGGGAGUUUCAGCUGGACAGUGCAGUUGAUGGAAUAUACUUUGAAGAAGAUGACGAGUUUGCUCCAGUAAUAGAGAUGUUGGAUGACCCAAGUUGUAAUUAACUUCGGCAAUUGAAGAUAGGGAUUGUGGUCCUCUAUCCCAUUAUUGUAAACGAACUUUAGUGAUACCUAACUUGGUUUACAAUAUUUCAAUUUCUUGCCAAUUUUUAAGGCAAAUUCUUUUCUGUUUUCAUUGGUGUAGAAGAUAUAAGUAUUUUUGUAUAUUAUGAAAAAAAAAGAAAAGACUUUUUUUUGAAGCGUGUUAACAUUGCCAUCUCAGCGUUGACCAACUUAGCAACAUUUCAGUUUUCGUAGCGAUCCCCAACCCGUCGAUGAUGGUAUCUCUGAAUAAGGAUCAAUCUCAAUGUUGGGGAUGUGAGAUAUUUUAUGCCAAUCCUCUCCACUGUCUUUCUUGCACCGCUUCGCCAGAUGUGGACAUCCUUUAAUUGUCAAUUUUUUGAGUGCCAUAAGAAUUCAUAUAAAUGUGGGGGAUGUGAAAUUUCAAGCAAAUCACAAAGAACUGAAUCUUGAAUCCAUGUUAGAAUUUUUGAACCAUGAUAGUUGUUUAUGGACAGUACUUUCAGAUUUGAAUGAGGUUGGAGACCAUCAAGAACAUCUUCAACAUGGUCCGGUACAUGGCUUUUAUUGUCACUCCGCCAAACCAAACUUAGCGAAUUAAGUUUUGUUUUCCGAUCAAAUUUGUGUUUUUGGCCUCCACUGAAUUUCUGACAUUAUCAAGUUCCUUUAUUGUCAAAUUGUUUCGAAGGUUUAGCCCUUUCAACUCACUUACUUGAUAGCCAUUUUUCUUGCCAGCAAUGAAGAAGCUCAAUGAUUGGAGGCAAGUUAAUUGUCCCAUUCCUUCAGGCAUACGAGUAAGAGAAUGACAACCAGUGAUGCUAAGAUACAUAAGGCUUUUCAUGUGCUUCAUACCUUUGGGUGACUCACAAAGAGAGUCGCAUUCAUCUAGUUUCAACGUUUGCAAGUUCAAGAGGCAGGUUGUUGAUUCAGGUAAAACUUUGAUAUUAGACCCAGACAUGUCAAGAUACCUCAAAUGUUUUAAAUUGUUGAUUGAUCUCGGUACUUCCCGAACCACAAAUUUAAAAUUCAAUACCCAAAGAUACUUUUGUUUUAAGAUGAAUGGCAGAGAAGCUUCACGAUCAGAUGUAUCAAGGCAUCAGCGUAGAGAUCGAACUUUACAUAGGUCCUCAUUCAAAGAAAUGUCUUGUGAUGAGGUCAUGCCAAAAAACAUAUGAAAAAUCCUUCCUUCAACCUUCACAUCUUUUCUGGAUUCCACUGCAAUGCAUUCAUGUCUCAUAAUAGAUUGAGCAAGGUUAUGCAUAAGGUCAUGCAUUUUAUAAGGUCAUGCAUUUUACACGUUAUAUAGCCGGGAUACCCCUCCUUGACAUCUUGAAAGAAUGACCUCUGUACUAAUUCAUUGAAGAUAUCUACCCUAAAAUCAUACAACUCCGAUGGUCCUUUGAAGGGAAUAAAACCAUUAGCCAUCCAGAGGUGUUCGACAACGAGGUCGUUCCUUCUUCUCUCGCCUCCAUCGCUCCCAUCCUCCGUGUCGCCACUGAAAUCGAAACUGAGCGCCCUCGCGUUGCCUAUCUCUGUCGAUUCUAUGCGUUUGAAAAGGUGCACAGGUUGGAUCCAAGCUCGAGCGGACGUGGUGUGAGACAGUUCAAGACAGGGCUUCUUCAACGAUUAGAAAGGGCACUUCUGCAGAGGACACUGAAUGACUAUAGAACCAAUCAAGUAGUUUGGAGAUUCGUUUGAUUCAAAGCCAGGAUAACAUUCGCAAUCCACAAGUUGCAUUCAAAGCUGAAAAAUUCAACUAAAUGGGUGAUAUGCGGUGGGGCAUAUUUAACAAUCAUGCUUAUCUAAUACAAUUUAGCAUUAUUUAUAAAAAGAAAAUGUGAUUUCAUCCUCUCUCUGUCUCUCUCUCUCCAUCCCUCCAUAAACAAAAAAGUUACUGCUGAUUAAAAAACUGAUCACUGACGUGUAAAAUUAAAAAAAUAAAAGAAAAAAGAAACAAUUUUGCCUUGAUUAGAAAGACAAUUGAGGGUUCUUUUGUAAAUUAAAGAAUUCAUAUUACAAAUAAUCUUUCA